rnacentral:sRNA from 1 species
CUUUGCUUCCCAUGACGCAGAGGGAAGUGUCAACUAGGAUAUUUCUGGUAAAACUGAAAGCAAGAAAAGCAGGGUGCUAGCCCCUGUGGGACUGAGGGUGGAGGCUGGGAGAGUUUGGGUGCCAUCCUCCUGUGACAGAUGGAUGGACCUUUCAUCUAAGAGAAAGGAGGAGACACGUUGGCAAAUCAGCCUCAAGCCUAAGAUUGCUUGUGAAGCAAUCAUAAGGAGGAACAAAAACAGACACAAAAACAGAGGGAAAGAGCGAAAAGACAAGAAGGGCGCAAACUGUGACAGACUCACCGCUUCACUAACUACUCACUUAAACUGGAAGCAAAAUGUCCCUAAAAUUGCCAAGGAACUGGGAUUUCAACCUGAAAAUGGAGGCUGUGAAAAUAGCUCGGUCAAGGAGUGUGAUGACUGGCGAGCAGAUGGCUGCCUUCCAUCCAUCGUCCACCCCCAACCCGCUGGAGAGGCCCAUCAAGAUGGGCUGGCUGAAGAAGCAGAGGUCCAUCGUGAAGAACUGGCAGCAGAGGUACUUUGUGCUGAGGGCUCAGCAGCUCUGCUACUACAAGGACGAAGAGGACACGAAGCCCCAGGGCUGCAUGUAUCUACCAGGAUGUACAAUCAAGGAGAUCGCCACAAACCCAGAAGAAGCUGGGAAGUUUGUCUUUGAAAUCAUUCCAGCAGUGUUUGGCCAACGCUUGGAUGAGACUGUGGCCUAUGAACAGAAAUUCGGUCCCCAUCUUGUGCCCAUCCUGGUGGAGAAAUGUGCAGAGUUCAUCCUGGAGCACGGCCGGAAUGAAGAGGGCAUCUUCCGUCUGCCUGGCCAGGACAACCUGGUGAAACAGCUGAGAGAUGCUUUUGAUGCUGGGGAGCGGCCCUCCUUUGACAGAGACACAGAUGUGCACACUGUGGCUUCCCUGUUAAAGCUGUACCUCCGAGACCUCCCAGAGCCCGUGGUUCCCUGGAGCCAGUACGAAGGGUUCCUGCUCUGUGGGCA